rnacentral:SRP_RNA from 1 species
GGGGGGGGUCACGUGACCCCGCCGAGGGUCACGUGGGGGCGGAGAAAAUUUCCGCUAGAUUUAGCGGGGAAAAUUUUGCGCUAAAUUUAACGGGGAAAAUUUUCCGCUAGAUUUAGCGGGGAAAAUUUUCCGCUAGAUUUAGGGGGAAAAUUUUCCGCUAGAUUUAGCGGGGAAAAUUUUCCGCUAAAUUUAGCGGGGAAAGUUUUCCCGCUAGAUUUAGCGGGGAAAAUUUUCCGCUAGAUUUAGCGGGGAAAAUUUUCCGCUA